GACGAACGCUGGCGGCGUGCUUAACACAUGCAAGUCGAACGAUGAAGCCUAGCUUGCUAGGUGGAUUAGUGGCGAACGGGUGAGUAAUACGUGAGUAACCUACCUUUAACUCUGGGAUAAGCCUGGGAAACUGGGUCUAAUACCGGAUACGACCAAUCUCCGCAUGGGGUGUUGGUGGAAAGCGUUAUGUAGUGGUUAUAGAUGGGCUCACGGCCUAUCAGCUUGUUGGUGAGGUAACGGCUCACCAAGGCGACGACGGGUAGCCGGCCUGAGAGGGUGACCGGCCACACUGGGACUGAGACACGGCCCAGACUCCUACGGGAGGCAGCAGUGGGGAAUUUUGGACAAUGGGCGCAAGCCUGAUCCAGCAAUGCCGCGUGUGUGAUGAAGGCCUUCGGGUUGUAAACCUCUGUUAGCAGGGAAGAAGAGAGAUUGACGGUACCUGCAGAAAAAGCGCCGGCUAACUACGUGC
rnacentral:rRNA from 1 species